rnacentral:rRNA from 1 species
UGAGGAAUAUUGGUCAAUGGACGCAAGUCUGAACCAGCCAAGUAGCGUGCAGGAUGACGGCCCUAUGGGUUGUAAACUGCUUUUAUAUGGGGAUAAAGUUGGGAACGUGUUCCCUUUUGCAGGUACCAUAUGAAUAAGGACCGGCUAAUUCCGUGCCAGCAGCCGCGGUCAUACGGAAGGUUCGGGCGUUAUCCGGAUUUAUUGGGUUUAAAGGGAGCGUAGGCCGUUUGGUAAGCGUGUUGUGAAAUGUAGGAGAUCAACUUCUAGAUUGCAGCGCGAACUGUCAGACUUGAGUGCGCACAACGUAGGCGGAAUUCAUGGUGUAGCGGUGAAAUGCUUAGAUAUCAUGAAGAACUCCGAUUGCGAAGGCAGCUUACGGGAGCGCAACUGACGCUGAAGCUCGAAGGUGCGGGUAUCGAACAGG